rnacentral:rRNA from 1 species
UACGGAGGAUGCAAGCGUUAUCCGGAAUGAUUGGGCGUAAAGCGUGCGCAGGCGGUUAUGUAAGACAGUUGUGAAAUCCCCGGGCUCAACCUGGGAACUGCAUCUGUGACUGCAUAGCUAGAGUACGGUAGAGGGGGAUGGAAUUCCGCGUGUAGCAGUGAAAUGCGUAGAUAUGCGGAGGAACACCGAUGGCGAAGGCAAUCCCCUGGACCUGUACUGACGCUCAUGCACGAAAGCGUGGGGAGCAAACAGG